AGAGUUUGAUCCUGGCUCAGGAUGAACGCUAGCGACAGGCUUAACACAUGCAAGUCGAGGGGCAGCGGGGGCGUAGCAAUAUGCCUGCCGGCGACCGGCGCACGGGUGAGUAACACGUAUGUAACCUGCCCUAUGCAGGGGGAUAACCCGGAGAAAUCCGGCCUAAUACCGCGUAACACCUUAGGGGAGCAUUCUCUUGAGGUUAAAGGAGAGAUCCGGCAUAGGAUGGACAUGCGUCGCAUUAGGUAGACGGCGGGGCAACGGCCCACCGUGCCGACGAUGCGUAGGGGUUCUGAGAGGAAGGCCCCCCACACUGGUACUGAGACACGGACCAGACUCCUACGGGAGGCAGCAGUGAGGAAUAUUGGUCAAUGGCCGAGAGGCUGAACCAGCCAAGUCGCGUGAGGGAAGAAUGUCCUAAGGAUUGUAAACCUCUUUUGUCGGGGAGCAAAAAGGCUCUGCGGAGUCGUAUUGAGAGUACCCGAAGAAAAAGCAUCGGCUAACUCCGUGCCAGCAGCCGCGGUAAUACGGAGGAUGCGAGCGUUAUCCGGAUUUAUUGGGUUUAAAGGGUGCGCAGGCGGCGUGUCAAGCAAGCGGUAAAAUAGCGGGGCUCAACCCCGUCGAGCCGUUUGAACUGGCGCGCUUGAGUUCAGGCGAGGUAGGCGGAAUUCGUGGUGUAGCGGUGAAAUGCAUAGAUGUCACGAAGAACUCCGAUUGCGAAGGCAGCUUACCAGUCUGCGACUGACGCUCAGGCACGAAAGUGUGGGUAUCGAACAGGAUUAGAUACCCUGGUAGUCCACACAGUAAACGAUGAGCGCUAGGUGUCCGGGUCGCAUGAGACUUGGGUGCCCGAGCGAAAGCGUUAAGCGCUCCACCUGGGGAGUACGCCGGCAACGGCGAAACUCAAAGGAAUUGACGGGGGCCCGCACAAGCGGAGGAACAUGUGGUUUAAUUCGAUGAUACGCGAGGAACCUUACCCGGGCUCAAACGACUCAGGAAUAUAUUGGAAACGAUGUAGCCAGCAAUGGUUUGAGUCGAGGUGCUGCAUGGUUGUCGUCAGCUCGUGCCGUGAGGUGUCGGCUUAAGUGCCAUAACGAGCGCAACCCCUACCGCCAGUUGCCAACGGGUAAAGCCGGGAACUCUGGCGGGACUGCCGGCGCAAGCUGCGAGGAAGGCGGGGAUGACGUCAAAUCAGCACGGCCCUUACGUCCGGGGCGACACACGUGUUACAAUGGCAGGUACAGCGGGAAGCCACCUGGUGACAGGGAGCGGAACCCGAAAGCCUGUCUCAGUUCGGAUUGGAGUCUGCAACUCGACUCCAUGAAGCUGGAUUCGCUAGUAAUCGCGCAUCAGCCAUGGCGCGGUGAAUACGUUCCCGGGCCUUGCACACACCGCCCGUCAAG
rnacentral:rRNA from 1 species